rnacentral:rRNA from 1 species
AGAACGAACGCUGGCGGCGUGGAUAAGACAUGCAAGUCGAACGGGAUAUUAUUUGUAGCAAUACAAGUGAUGUCUAGUGGCGUAAGGGUGCGUAACACGUGGGGAAUCUGCCGAGAAGUGGGGGAUAGCUCGUCGAAAGGCGAAUUAAUACCGCAUGUGGUUAGUGCUGGAUUCAGCACGACACCAAAGCCGGGGCAACCUGGCGCUUCUUGAUCGACCCCGCGGCCUAUCAGCUAGUUGGUGAGGUAACGCUCACCAAGGCUAGUGACGGGUAGCUGGUCUGAGAGGACGACCAGCCACACUGGAACUGACGACACGGUCCAGACCACCGUACGGGUGCAGCAGUCGAAGUUACUUUUUUCACAAGUACGGGGAAACCCUAGAAGGAGCGGACGCCGGCGGU